GUCAUAAAGCAUAAAAACAGCAUUUGAAUAUUACAUGUUGUUAAAACCAAUAAAAACAACCAUAAAUAAAAGUAUUUUUUUAUGUAAAACAUCCAAUUCUGUAAAAGCCAUUUAAAAUGUGUAUAAAUUAUUUAACAAAAGUUCAACAUUUUUAUGACAUGAAAAACACAACACAUUAAAAAGUCACUUUGUUCAAAGGCUGUCUUCGGUCCUUUGUACAGGAACGGGGUGAGACCUUAUCAAACUCGCCUCCUCCUGCUCCUACGAAUCAAUUUACAGUAUCUCUACUUGAAAUUGACGGAUUUUGAUCUGGAGUUUUAAAAUGAUGUUACUUAGGUUGAUGCAACCGUGUGUCAAUCGACUAAGGGGUUUGGGUUCCACGUGCUUGACGUUUGACCGUUUCCCUUGUGCGUGAGAAAAGGGGGAGGUGAAGAACCGUUUGAGAAGACACACAUCCAGCGCUGAGCGCAAGCUAGACAGGGCUCUCCUUCGCUCCUCUCACACACGACCAGCUCACGCCAUUCAUUCUGCCCUCCCUUGCUCCGGCACACGCUGCAUUCCUACCGUGGUUUUUGGAUAGCGAGCGGCGAUGUUUCUCUGCAGAGCGGCUUGGCAAAAAUAUGGGACUUUGGCAAGGAAGGUAGCCCAACAGUUAUCUAGAGAUGUGGAACCAGUCAUUCUGGCAGCAGCCUCUGCUUUGGAGGUGACAACAGUCGCUGAAGUGGUCAAAGAAGUGGUUGUGCCUAUUGUAGAAGAAGUCGAGGAGGUUGCCCCAGUGGAGGCCCCAGCUGCAGUGGAGGAGGCCCCAGCUACAGUGGAGGAGGCCACAGCUACAAUGGAGGAGGCCACAGCUGCCCCACUUGAGGCUGCACCCGCAGAAGAGGCCCCAGCUGCAGUGGAGGAGCCCCCAGCUGCCCCACUUGAGGCUGCACCCAUAGAAGAGGCCCCGGCUGCAGUGGAGGAGGCCCCGGCUGCAGUGGAGGAGGCCCCGGCUGCAGUGGAGGAGGCCCCGGCUGCAGUGGAGGAGGCCCCGGCUGCCCCACUUGAGGCUGAACUCAUCGAAGAGGCUGCAGUGGAGGAGGCCCCGGCUGCAGUGGAGGAGGCCCCGGCUGCAGUGGAGGAGGCCCCGGCUGCAGUGGAGGAGGCCCCGGCUGCAGUGGAGGAGGCCCCGGCUGCCCCACUUGAGGCUGAACUCAUCGAAGAGGCUGCAGUGGAGGAGGCCCCGGCUGCCCCACUUGAGGCUGAACUCAUCGAAGACGCUGCUGUGGAGGAGGCCCCUGCUGCAGUGGAGGAGGCCCCGGGUGCAGUGGAGGAGGCCCCGGGUGCCCCACUUGAGGCUGAACUCAUCGAAGAGGCUGCAGUGGAGGAGGCCCCGGCUGCAGUGGAGGAGGCCCUGGCUGCAGUGGAAGAGGCCCCGACUGCCCCACUUGAGGCUGAACUCAUCGAAGAGGCUGCAGUGGAGGGGGCCCCAGCUGCAGUGGAGGAGGCUGCAGUGGAGGAGGCCCCAGCUGCCCCACCCGUAGAAGAGGCUCCACCCUUAGAAGUGGCUGCGGUGGAAGAGGCCGCGGUGGAAGAGGCCCCAGCUGCAGUGGAGGCUGUCCCAGUUGUGGUGGUGGCACCUGUGGAGGCGCCCAAAAAGGAGUACAUUGUCGUGGUGCUGGAGGGUGCAGCCAAGACUGAUAAGAGGCCCAAAGUCCUGGGGGUCGGCCCCAUGACUGGCAGGAUCAUCCCAUCUCCAGAUGAUGAUGAGGCCCCUGCUGCUGAGGUAACAGGGCAAGCGACGGCUGCUUAGGAUGCAGAUGCAGUAGAACCACCUGACAGUAAGCACUUGGAGCCCCUGAAUGAUAUAGUUUCUCUACCCUGAGGGAGAAGAGGGGAUGUGCCUUCCCCAACCCCCCUUUCAUUGACCCCACCACACACUUUGACCCUUGAUAUUGAAUAUUGAUCUGUAGUAUAAAACUUAUCUUCCCGUCUUGGUCUAGGGAAUUAUCUGUGUAUAUAUUCAGAUAAUGCCUGCUUUAUGGAAAAAUACAUGAUCUGGUAUAUUUUUCUAGAUGUACAACACCCCCCAAAAAUCCUCCUCCCCCAAAAAGUCCCUCUCCGUCACACCGGGCAAGCUAAAUGAUAAUAAUCUGGGAAUAUUUGGCCAUGGAAACAUUCCUGGUUGACGUCAGGAGAAUAUAACUGUUUGCCAAAGUUACACAAGUUUGCCAAAAUAUAUUAACUAACUUUUUUAGCUCUCCAUUACAAGCUCGCUGGAACUGGGCCUGGCAGAAUUUGACCCAAUGUGAUUGGUUGACGAUAUGACACAUUGGCUCGCUAGCCUAUACCCUACGUUUUGUCGGGUUGGAAUGCAAUCAAUGUCAAUUCUGAUCAAAUGAAUGGGAAGUAUAAAUUGAACUACGCAGUGGUGGAAAAAGUACUGCAUUUUCAUACUUGAGUAAAAAUAAAGAUGCCUUAAUAAAAAAUGACUCAAGUGAAAGUGAAAGUCACCCAGUAAAAUACUACUUGAGUAAAACGAAUGUAUAAAAGGUUUUAAAUAUAUUAAAGUAUCAAAUAUAAUUGCUAAAAUGUAUCAAAAGUAAAAGUAUAAAUAAUUUCAAAUUUCUUAUUUAUCAAAUCAGACAGUACCAUUUUUGUGAUAUCCAAUUUGUAGUUACAGUCUUGUCCCAUCGCUGCAACUCCCGUACGGACUCGGGAGAGGCGAAGGUCGAGAGCCAUACGUCCUCUGAAACAAGAACCUGCCAAGCCGCACUGCUUCUUGACACUGCUCGCUUAACCCGAAAGCCAGCCGCACCAAUGUGUCGGAGGAAACAACUGGUGACGGAAGUCAGCUUGCAGGCGCCCGGCCCGCCACAAGGACUUGCUAGAGCGUGAUGGGACAAGGACAUCCCAGCCGGGCCAAACCCUCCCCUAACCCGGACGAUGCUGGGCCAAUUGUGCGCCACCUCAUGGGUCUCCUGGUCACGGCCGGCUGUGACACAGCCUGGGAUCGAACCCGGGCCUGUAGUGACGCCUCAAGCACUGCGAUGCAGUGCCUUAGACCGCUGCACCACUUGGGAGGGCCAGACAGCACAAUUUAAAUAAAAUAUUAUAAUAAUUACGGAUAGCCAAGAGCACACUCAAACACCGACAUAAUUUACAAACAAAACAUUUGUGUUUAGUGAGUCCACCAGAUCUGAAGCAGUAGGGAUGACCAGGAAUGUUCUCUUGAUAAGUGCGUGAAUUGGACCAUUUUCCUGCCCUAAGCAUUCAAAAUGAAACACGUACUUUUGGGUGUCAGGGAAAAUGUAUGGUGUAUAAAGUACAUUAUUUCCUUUAGUAAUGUAGUGAAGUUAAAGUUCAUAAAAAAUAUACUUAAGUAGUACUUUAAAGUAUUUUUACUUAAGUACUUUACACCAUGGGAAAAACGGGAGAAAUUGACAUUUUUUGUGACUAAGUCAGGACACCUGAAAAGUGGCUGAAAAACGUGACUGUCCCGUGAAAAAACAGGACAUAUGGUCACCCUAACACAUAGGGUCAACCUACUAGACUACAAUGUUAAUCACAAUUAACUUUGAACACCGGUAGGCCUACACACAUGAACACAUACAGGCUUCAGAUAAGUACACCUGAUCGUAUAUCAACUUCAAUAGGGUAAAAUAACAAUCGACUACAUCACCAAAACUCAAAUGAUCAUUAUUUUCUCCUUAUAGGGGAGCUCCCCUGUAAUUUGCACCGUGGUCAUGCCCUUGACUCCUCCCCAUGCCCUAGUUUACUUCACCUAAGAAACUUCACACUAGAUUCACUCCAAUGGUGUUUCCUGAUUCAUCAUCAUCCAAUGCAAUACUACACAUCUGAUGCUUAGCCACCAAGUCAACCACUAAUUGCUUCAGGACUGGGCAGGACAAGGCGUGGUUUUGGUGUGACCAGUAUUCUUUAACUAUCCUCAGGUUUUUCCUUGUUGAGGCAAUUCCAAUGUGAACAUAAGUAUUUAACUCUCAAAGCCAUAGUGAUCGGGGACUCUAUUUCUGAGUCACUGUUUUGUUUUUGGGAGACGAGACACAGUAGACUACCUCAGUAUUCCUCCUCUUUUCCUCCAGCUGGUGAUCCACAGACCUUUUAUUAAUGCAGUCAGAGUGUUAACAUUGAACAAACCUUCUCAGUUGCAAGACAGACAUGGGAUUCAUAUUGGGAAAUGAGCAUGAUGAGAGUCGGUCAGGUUUUUACAUUCAGUGAUGUCGCUUAAGCUAGACUCUAGCAUAUUUCAUGAUAUCGCUAUUCAGCAAUAUUUCACAAGGCAGACAUUUUUGUCUCUUUACUUUCUCCCACACCCUCUGUUGUAGAGCCUUUCCCUCAGUUCCACACCAUGGCUAUAGAAUACACAGCUGUUAGAUAGACAAUUCAUUUAAUGGUGACCUAUAGCUUAUUGUGAAGCUGUAUCUGAAAUAGAAAAAAGCAAUUUUUUGAGUGUAUAAUCUGUUCUCCAAGCCUGGUAUAAACAGUCGUGUGUUGUUGUUGUUAUCAUAUGAAAGUUGCAUUAUUACUUAAGUCAGUCUUGUGUGAUUACAUAAGUUAAUUCAGCGCUCGAUGGCUCAGUAAAGUGUGCUGAUAUGGUUUUGUCUGCUUUUCAAAUGAUAUGACUUAUUCGUUUGUGUUAGAUUCAUGAAUAAAUGUUCAACUUUGUCAAAACCAGUUAAAAUAAUCGGUAGGCCAAUACAAGGCUCUCACUGUACUCUACAGAUUUGUUGUAGAACGAGUUCUUCUCACUUUCCUUCCCUCACUUUAUAUAUUGGAGUACUUGCUAUGUUAGGCAUAUUGAAAAGGCACUGAGACCAUUGAUAAGUGAAUGUAAGCUUAUUCCUAAUUAAGGAGUGGGAUAAUUCAAUUUGUCUGUCCGAAUGUUUGCAGGCACUUUUUGUAUGGGAUAUAUACAGUACCAGUCAAAAGUUUGGACACCUACUCAUUCCAUGGUUUUUCUUUAUUUGUAGAAUUUUUUUACAUUGUAGGAUAAUAUGAAGCUGAUCGAGAGAAUGCCAAGCGUGUGCGGAGCUGUCAUCAAGGCAAAGGGUGGCUACUUUGAAGAAUCUCAAAUAUAAAAUAUAUUUUAAUUUGUUUAACACUUUUUUGUUUACUACAUGAUUCCAUAUGUGUUAUUUCAUAGUUGAUGUCUUCACUAUUAUUCUACAAUGUAGGAAAUAGUAAAAAUAAAAAAUAAACCUUGAAUGAGUAUGUGUCCAAACUUGUGACCCCGGUACUGUAUAUAGUGGCUUGUUCUGCCAUGUGAGUGGAUGGCUUGCCACUGUGCAACAGCCUAGCAUGGGCCAGAAACUGUGACUGUGAAACAUUGCUGUUUUUCUGAAAUAAAGAGGGAAUCAAAAAGGGAUAUUUCAGUCUAUGGCUUUACUUUUUGUGUGUCUCAACUUUGAAACCCCUCUAUCAUGUCUGCUAAUGAAAACCCAACAUGGCACUAAUUAUGUCCUGUAUGCACUACCUUUGUCAUAGUAAACCCACUAACCUUGUCCCCAGGCUCAAUUGGGGGAUGAGUAAAUAAACUCACAACCAUAGGACUACAACACAAUAUUCAGACUGCAGCUCAUGUAGUUAAUUAUGACAUACUCCUGCAGUCGUCCAGUAAUCACAAUGGAUGUAUUCAUGUAGCCAUUUCUAUUUACAGAAGUGUUCUGAAAGGGCUUUAUCGACCAGUGAGUUUUUGUAACGACUGGGGCCACAAGACAGGGGCUCGUAGCGCGGUGCUCUGACGUCAUCAUUGUCAAUGUGUCAUUCGCUAUCGGGCUCCAGGAGGUUGAGCUGACUCCCUCCGCGAAGAGACGGCGCGCAGGAAAGCAGUGAGAUCGAAACAUCCUGUAAAACAGAACUAACGUAAACAAAUGCAAUAUAUAGCAUUUUAGUAUUGUUUGUCCGUAAAAAUCCAAAUUUUGCUACAACUAGCUUGCAAACAGUUGAGAGUAUUUCAAUUGAGGAGCACGUCGACGUCGGUCUGGUCAACUUGGAUAGCUAGCAGUUAGUUCACACAGCUAACGUUAGGCCUAGCGUGAAGCUAUCCACCGGAGGAAAAGCAACAUACGAAG
rnacentral:lncRNA from 8 species